GGGUGUUUGGUUGCCUACCCAGCAUCUUUACACCAUGACUGUGUGGCUAUUUCCUGCUUUCCUAGUUAAUACAGUAACUUUGAAGUUGUUCCUCUAGGAGAGAAGACUACUGUCAGGGAGAUCAGGCAGAAAAAAGUAUGUUGUUGCAAAGAAACACAUACUAAAUACUAAUGCAGUGGCACUGAUAAAGCACAAACCUACCAGACGGCAUAUGGCACUUGAAUGUAAGUCAUGGUCUCUCUGUCGUAGAAGGAGCCAUUAAGGACUCACAGCAGACAGGACGUGAAGCAGCAAACAGCUCCGUACCCCAUCGAUCUCUUGAUUUUCUCCCUUCGGGUCACCAUGUAAGUGAGAUUACGCACCUAGAAGGCACCAAGUUGAUGAGUUUUAAAGGAAUUAUGUUUCUAUAAUGCUGUAACUCUGUGGUUCAAAUUAGUUCAGCAUAAGUACCAUACACCAUUUUAACAAGAUACAUAUAUAUAAAAUCAACAUAUCUCUUACAAGACAAUCUUAAAUACCGUUUAAUUGACAGCUUAGUCUAUCAGAUUUUGGAGGCUCACAGUGCAGAAGUAAAUUCUAUGAACACUUGUAUCAUGUGUAUGUAUGUAUGUGUGUGUAUAUAUACAUAUACACACACAUACAAAUCUAGAGAAAUGCUGGAAAUGCUUAAAUAUGCUCAGUACUAUAUAGCCCAGCACCACUUGUUCCCUAUUGUUUGAGACCCAACAAGAAAUACUUACUUAACAGUAUGAAAAUGUGGAGGCCUACUCACUGGUACCCUUCUUUUUAUUGACCCUGCCGUUAUAUGCUAAUUGUUAAAAAUGAAGGCAGGCCAGUCCAUCCAUGCCAUAGCAUGGGGGAGGUGGCAGGGACUGAAAGCAGCAAAAUGUUUAUUUUGACAGUGGCUCGUUUUUCAGAAGAAAACUUCAUCUCUGGUCUUAAAAUGUGACUUUCUUAUCUAGCAGCAGCAUGAGAACUUACUUUCACAGCCGUCACUCUCAGAGCUUAACAGUAGUGAUGGGGAUCACUGAGGAGUUUAUAGGAUUGUUUUCAAGGCUCCUCUCUCAACUUAGUGUAGCCACACAUGGUAAAAGGAGCACUGUUGAUCAGAGCCCUAUGGCCUGAUCUCAAAUCCGUUAAGGAGGAGACGCACUUUAAUGCAUGUUGAGGGUCUCCUGUAUUAGGCUCCCAGUCUUGGCCCAGACAGCACUUCAGGUAUUCAGUAGCUGUCAUUAGUUCGUGGAUUUGAAUUGGAAGGCAUUCGUCUAGCCUGUUACCCUUCCUGGUACAGUCCACAGCCUUUUGUUCUCUUCCUUGUCUGAUCCGAGCCGCAGAACAAAGACACAUCUUGUCCACAAAAUUACCUGUUUUAUUAGGUGAACUGGGUGACACCAUUUAGAAAUGUUUCUAGAUGGAUGACACUGUCACUAAUGUAAUUCAUAAUGAAGUCUAAUAGACAACCUGAAGAAGAGCAAAAAAAUAGGCCCUUUUUUUUUUAGCAUCCAAGUUCUCUUUGAUGUACGUAUCAGUGAGAACAACAGAGUAGUAAAAUAUUAAAAACAGUGCUAGAUUGAUGUAUCCUGUUUUGACACCGUACUUUAAAAACAGAAAGGAUACAUACAGAAUCGUUUAAGACCCAGAGAACAUAGUGAUAAACACCACUUGUGUUUAACUGAUCAAAGGGAAGACUAAAAGAGAUCUUGAACAUGCUGAACAGAAAACAAAAUACACAAGGUAACAGCAAUCUAACACAGGAAGAGAAGGGUCACAGGCUGGAAGUUGAAACCAGAGGAAAAAAAUAUUUAAAAACCUACAACAGCAACUCAUUAGAAGAAUAAUUAGCCACUUGGUUCCUUUACAAAGGAUGCAGUAGAUAGAUCUAUUAGCACCUGCUGCCCAGACUGAAAGACGAGAUACUAUUCUGGAAGAGAGGUUCUCGUUCACUACCAGCCCCGUUAUUGAGUCUAAGGCAGGACUUUUUGAGUCAGAUUCCAUAGGUGGUCUGCAUGAGCUGGGCUCUGGAUAUACAUGACAAACUAAACAAACUGUAGUACGCUUCCUGGCUCUUACAUUCCUUAGUGUCUCUAGUAGUUUUUUAUUUUUUUAUUUAAAAAAAAAAAAAAAAAAGGAAUUCAGGUGACUUCAGGAUCAGAUGUAGUUAGAACACCAUACUGGUCCUAUUCAACUGUUUUUUUUAGUUUAUCAACCAAAAUCAAACAAAUCUGAACCUAAUUAACUGGAACAGCCUACCAAACCUACUACAUAUGGAUAGUCCAGUGAAGUACCAUCCUACCAUGCUGUGCCAACAGAAAACACACUUGCUCCAAAUCAAGCUUCCAGUACUCAUAAAGGAAUCCCACCGGCUCCUCGGGCAGCCGCAGCACUUUAGCCACUUCCGAAGACUCAACAAAAGUAUAGAACUCGUCCUCCAGCUGCUGGAGCUUUUGCUUGCGGAGGCUGACUCUGUGGG